CUACAAAACUAAGAAAAUGAUAGCUGGAGGGAGUCCUCUUCCUGUGUCCUGAAAAAUCACACUGAAUGCUGACACCUGCAGCCAUCCUGGAAAACUGAGAACCAAUUCCAGGAGGGCAUUUGUGGAACAGUUCGGCUUUUUCUGGUCCUCAAAGUCUGAAAUGGUAUCUUGUGGUGAUAGCAUUGAGGGAUAAGGAGGAGGGGUGAGGACCCAGAGAGACAGAAUAUUCCCACCUUGUGCCAAAGCUAUAAAAGGGGGUAGAACAGAACAAGGGAGAUGCAGUCAUGAGAAAGCCCCCGUUUUCCACCUGAAAUGACUGUUGGAACUAUCAAGGACUGUAUCGGGGAAAGGAUUGGGCCCAGACUAGGAAGGAGUCUAGUCUGUGAAAGAAGCUUAUUGGAGCAGCUCUAAUGGAAGCAAGUACAGGACCAGGUUAUUUACCUUUCCCUAAUCACGGACAAAAUAUCCAGACAUCUUGGUGUACGUUGCCAAAGAGGAUGGAAGAACUGAUCUCCUUACUCACUGUUUGCUCUACUGUCAGCCGUCAAUUUCUCCAGACAAAGGAAUAGAAAUUGUUCAGAAUGGUGAGACAGCAGCCUGAUCAACCGAGAAUACCACCUCUGGAGCACCAUCAAGUUUAUAUUACUGUGAAGAAUUCUCACAAUAACGGAUGUAAGAGAAAUAAGUAACAUUAAG